AUGAACGCUGGCGGCGUGCCUAAUACAUGCAAGUCGCGCGAACAGACGAGGAGCUUACUCCUCUGACGUUAGCGGCGGACGGGUGAGUAACACGUGGAUAACCUACCUAUAAGACUGGGAUAACUUCGGGAAACCGGAGCUAAUACCGGAUAACAUGUUGAACCGCAUGGUUCAACAGUGAAAGACGGUCUUGCUGUCACUUAUAGAUGGAUCCGCGUCGCAUUAGCUAGUUGGUAAGGUAACGGCUUACCAAGGCAACGAUGCGUAGCCGACCUGAGAGGGUGAUCGGCCACACUGGAACUGAGACACGGUCCAGACUCCUACGGGAGGCAGCAGUAGGGAAUCUUCCGCAAUGGGCGAAAGCCUGACGGAGCAACGCCGCGUGAGUGAAGAAGGUCUUCGGAUCGUAAAACUCUGUUAUUAGGGAAGAACAAAUGUGUAAGUAACUAUGCACGUCUUGACGGUACCUAAUCAGAAAGCCACGGCUAACUACGUG
rnacentral:rRNA from 1 species